rnacentral:rRNA from 1 species
AGAGCGAACGCUGGCGGCAGGCCUAACACAUGCAAGUCGAGCGCCCGUAGCAAUACGGGAGCGGCAGACGGGAUAGUAACACGUGGGAACGCGCCCUUCGGUUCGGAAUAACUCAGGGAAACUUGAGCUAAUACCGGAUACGCCCUUACGGGGAAAGAUUUAUUGCCGAAGGAACGGCCCGCGUCCGAUUAGCUAGUUGGUGAGGUAAUGGCUCACCAAGGCGACGAUCGGUAGCUGGUCUGAGAGGAUGACCAGCAUCACUGGGACUGAGACACGGCCCAGACUCCUACGGGAGGCAGCAGUGGGGAAUAUUGGACAAUGGGCGAAAGCCUGAUCCAGCCAUGCCGCGUGGAUGAUGAAGGCCUUAGGGUUGUAAAGUCCUUUUAACGGGAGAUAAUGACGGUACCGUAGAAUAAGCCCGGCUAACUUCGUGCCAGCAGCCGC